UGAGCAGGUUGGGCCAUGGAGUUGUCAAUUCUUCCAUCUUUGUAAAAUUCUCUGCGUUGAUACAAGGUUCCUUCAUCAUCAAAGCCUUGAGUGGCAUCUCCUUAUGAGCAUGAAUUGAUAAUUAAUUAAUUAUGGGAUCCAUCUAGGAGUUUUAGCCUUGUAAAAUUAUCUCCAUGCACACACAGGUGGCACUUCAGGGUCUUGUGUGGUAUUUCGUCCUAUAUGAAAAGUCCAUAAAUCUGGUUAGUGUGCACAAAUCCAAUCUGUUCUAUCGUAUAGCUAAUACCAUUUCAAAGUUUCUUUAUCUCCCUCCCUGGAGGAAAUUUUAUUUUAUUUUUGUGCAGGAGUCUUUAUGCUAAUUCUGGUUGGAUUAUAGAUACUUUCCGUUUACAUUUUGGUCAUCUCUCAUGAUGACUUGAUGGUGUGCUCGGCUUAUUCGGCUGUGAGGGUUAACAUAUCACCAUCACCAUGGCAUAAUGGUGGAAGAAAUGAGAUCCGGAACUUUACAAUAAUACCCCUUGUCGUAUGAUAUCAGUGCUUGUGUGCAGCCAAUCAGAUCUCUGGUCGUUAUUAAUUGAUGUGGCAUGCGGCACAACUUUGGAAAUCAACAAUGGAGUAGGCACAUGUUUGUGAAGUUGUAACACUUUUGUACCCACAGAAGGUCAGCAACCCCUUGCUGAAAUUCAUGAUCAAUUUAGCUAUGCUAGAUUGUAUUGCAAUGUGCAAUUGUCAAACACUUACUGCCUCAUGAGACCUAGGCUAGAGGAAUUGAUACUUUCUGGAUAAGUUGGUACUCUAGCUUUUGAGCACGCUCAUAAUCUCUGAAUUCAUUGCCAUUCUGAAUUAAAUAACACAAGAGAGUUUUCAGCUGAUACAUAUAGUCGUAAAGGUAGAGAACACUUGUUACUAGGUGAUUGAUGAACAUUGAUUGAACAAAAAGACUCGAGCUUGCUAAUUUUUAUUCAUAGAACCUCCUGAGUUAAGUAUGGUGAAGGUGAUUUUAUUCUCUUCUUGAUCUGUAGUAUUUUUUCUAUCCCACCAAUGCCAAAAGCAGAGCAGAUUUCAUGAGCCUUGAUUAUUGCAAUCUGAAUAUUUAGUGUGUAUUGUUAAGUUCGAUGUUCCUCUAGUCUGAAGUCUUUGAAAGCCAGUCAUUCCUUUGCCGUAACUUUAUGUUUGCUUGCCUCUUCAACACUCGGCAUUGCAUUCCUUCAUCAGGAUAUCACAAAAUCUCAGAAAUUAAACCAUUUCUGUCAUUUGUUCACACCAUACCUACCUAUAUAGCGCAUCACUCACUAUUCCAUAGUAGUUGAUUAUUCCAUAAGCACAGUCAUCAAAGUUUGAGAAGACUCAAAAGCGUUUUAUUAUCAACGCUGCAAAAUUCAUUAUUAUGAAGAUUCAAGAGCUAUAUUCAUCAGCAGUGGCCUCUCUCUCACAUACUGAAAAAACAAGAAGAGAGGAGCACCAUUUCAAAAGAUUAAAGGGUUCAUUUUCAAGCAGGACGGAAUAGCCAGCAGUGCUUCCAUUUUCAUGUGCUACAUAUGCAAUAUCGAUAACAGGAACAUCACUCGCAUCCUGGGAUCACCUUACAUUGCAUUGGCCUCUCAAAUAAUUUCCUUGGUGUGAGUCCGUUUCCUCCCACAUGCCUUGGACCCUACAAUUUUUUCCAAUGACUGGAAUGUGAAGACUUCUUUUUAUGCUGAGUUGAACUCUUAUUUAGCUUUACAAUCUAGAUUUCAGAUUUGCUCAUUCUUUGAAUUACCCAACCAAGCUCCAGAUAAGCUUUCCACAAAUAUAAAGUAGAUAGAACACUUCGGCCACUGGCCAGUGAGGACUAUAAUUAUGUGAUGAGAGUAAUUCCGGAUCAUGACGAGGUAAUUUCGCUAGAUACCUGCUCUUGGAAGGUUCACAAAGGAAUAAAAUUGUUGGCUGCUCUUGUCUUCCUUUGUUCUUGACAUUGAAGUCAAACCUCCUAGUUACCUGUGUUCAAAACUUGAUCGCUAUAUUGUUGAUGCUGUUCACUCUCAUAAAAUGGAACCCAUUCCGUACUGGCAAUGAAUAGGAGUUGUUAUUUAAGCUUGUGCUCAAUUCUUAGCCUGCUACUUUAAUAUGUUUGCAGUAAGUGCCUCGACCCAAAGUUUACGAGGAUUACAGUAAUUGUUUGCACGUGAGCACUUGUUUGCAAUCUCGCUAUGCUAAGCUUUCAGGUAUUUCACAAGCAUGUGGGCAAGUUGAAUCAGGAGCCUAAGUCCUCUGACGUGCCAUUUGCCGCAAUCUGAGACCUUUCUUUCUCGAGGGAAGAAUCGGAAAGGGAGAAGGCUAAGAUGAAUCAUAGCUUUUGUUUCUCUUUGAAGCCACUUGCUUCCUAACAAUGUUAUAAGGAAGAGAGAAUGGGGUUUCCCCGAUUGUUAUUUCCCUUCUAGCUUCAGUCUGUAGUAGGCUGUCGAUGAAUGGUACAAAAACAUGCGGACUCUUUCAUCUGUUCUUUAAGUGUGGACAUCAACAUUCAGUGUAAUGUGCAAUAUCUUCAUAUAUGAAUCUAUGCUUGCAUGUCA
rnacentral:rRNA from 1 species